rnacentral:rRNA from 1 species
CUACGGGGCGCACCAGUGAGGAAUAUUGCACAAUGGGGGGAACCCUGAUGCAGCAACGCCGCGUGGAGGAUGACGCAUUUCGGUGUGUAAACUCCUUUUAUAUGUCAAGAAAAUGACGGUAGCAUAUGAAUAAGCACCGGCUAACUCCGUGCCAGAGGCCGCGGUAAUACGGAGGGUGCAAGCGUUACUCGGAAUCACUGGGCGUAAAGGACGCGUAGGCGGGUUGGAAAGUCAGGUGUGAAAUCCUACAGCUUAACUGUAGAACUGCACUUGAAACUUCUAAUCUAGAGUAUGGGAGGGGGAGAUGGAAUUAGUGGUGUAGGGGUAAAUUCCGUAGAUAUCACUAGGAAUACCUAAAGCGAAGGCGAUCUCCUGGAACAUUACUGACGCUAAGGCGUGAAAGCGUGGGGAGCAAACAGGAUUAGAUACCCGCGUAGUC